rnacentral:rRNA from 1 species
AACGAACGCUGGCGGCAUGCCUAACACAUGCAAGUCGAACGAGACCUUCGGGUCUAGUGGCGCACGGGUGCGUAACGCGUGGGAACCUGCCCUUAGGUUCGGAAUAACUCCCCGAAAGGGGUGCUAAUACCGGAUAAUGUCUUCGGACCAAAGAUUUAUCGCCUUUGGAUGGGCCCGCGUUGGUUUAGCUAGUUGGUAGGGUAAAAGCCUACCAAGGCGACGAUCCAUAGCUGGUCUGAGAGUAUGAUCAGCCACACUGGGACUGAGACACGGCCCAGACUCCUACGGGAGGCAGCAGUGGGGAAUAUUGGACAAUGGGCGAGAGCCUGAUCCAGCAAUGCCGCGUGAGUGAUGAAGGCCUUAGGGUUGUAAAGCUCUUUUACCCGGGAUGAUAAUGACAGUACCGGGAGAAUAAGCACCGGCUAACUCCGUG